rnacentral:rRNA from 1 species
UACGGGGGGGGGCAAGCGUUGUUCGGAAUUACUGGGCGUAAAGGGCUCGUAGGUGGCCAACUAAGUCAUACGUGAAAUCCCUCGGCUUAACCGGGGAACUGCGUCUGAUACUGGAUGGCUUGAGGUUGGGAGAGGGAUGCGGAAUUCCAGGUGUAGCGGUGAAAUGCGUAGAUAUCUGGAGGAACACCGGUGGCGAAGGCAGCUCGCUGGGACGGUACUGACGCUGAGACGCGAAAGCGUGGGGAGCAAACAGG